rnacentral:lncRNA from 1 species
CUUCCCUGAUGCCACAACCCAGUAGCUUCCAAUUCGUUACCCGAGGCGCAGGCAACUGGGACCCGCGAAGACAAAGUAGACAAACUUGUGCUACCAUUGGGUGAUAUGACUCUGGGAUGUUUCCUGUCUACUUCCAAAAACAAAGAAAAGCAAAACUGUGAGUGCUGAUGGAUGUUUGUGUCUUUCACCAUCCAGGAAGUGAAGUUUGGAGAGGAAAAAGGAGUUAUCUGAUACUCUGUCAACUUCUCCUGGAAUUCCUACUGAUGCCAGGAGAGGCACACUCCAAGAAGCCCACCACUCAUGCCUCCGAUCCAUAUGAUCUUUAUCUUUCGUUUAUGUUUUGCUGCAUCUAUUUGUGAAGAGUGGAUGAUUGUUUUUAUAGAAAGGGGAAGUCCAUUCCCAUUUGUGGGUAAAAAUAUGGGAGAAGGUAUUCCAAAG